AACGAACGCUGGCGGCAUGCCUAACACAUGCAAGUCGAACGAGACCUUCGGGUCUAGUGGCGCACGGGUGCGUAACGCGUGGGAACCUGCCCUUAGGUUCGGAAUAACUCCCCGACAGGGGUGCUAAUACCGGAUAAUGUCUUCGGCCCAAAGAUUUAUCGCCUUUGGAUGGGCCCGCGUUGGAUUAGCUAGUUGGUAGGGUAAAAGCCUACCAAGGCGACGAUCCAUAGCUGGUCUGUGAGGAUGAUCAGCCACACUGGGACUGAGACACGGCCCAGACUCCUACGGGAGGCAGCAGUGGGGAAUAUUGGACAAUGGGCGAAAGCCUGAUCCAGCAAUGCCGCGUGAGUGAUGAAGGCCUUAGGGUUGUAAAGCUCUUUUACCCGGGAUGAUAAUGACAGUACCGGGAGAAUAAGCUCCGGCUAACUCCGUG
rnacentral:rRNA from 1 species